GAUGAACGCUGGCGGCGUGCCUAAUACAUGCAAGUCGAGCGAACAGCCGUGGUGCUUGCUCCUCUGCCGUUAGCGGCGGACGGGUGAGUAACACGUGCAUAACCUACCUUUAAGACUGGGAUAACUUCGGGACACCGGAGCCCAUAUCGGAUAAUAUAUUGAACCGCAUGGCCCAAUAGUGAAAGACGGUUUUGCUGUCACUUAUAGCUGGUUCCGCGCUGCAUUAGCUAGUUGGUAAGGUAACGGCUUACCAAGGCAACGAUGCGUAGCCGACCAGGAAAGGUGAGGGAGCAGACUGGAACUGGGGCACGGUCCAAAGGCGAACGAGAGACGGCAGUAAGGAAUCUGCCAGGAUGGGGGGGAGACUAACGGAGCAACGCGGCAUGAGUGAUGAAGGACUUCGGAGCGUAAGACGCAGGUAUUAGGAAAGAACAAAGGUGUAAGUAAGGAAGCACAAAAUGACGGUACCUGAACAAAAAGCCACGGCUAACUACGUG
rnacentral:rRNA from 1 species